UUAAUAAAUUGGCGGGGGCGCACAAGCGGUGGAGCAUGUGGUUUAAUUCGAUGCAACGCGAAGAACCUUACCUACUCUUGACAUCCACAGAAUUCGGCAGAGAUGCCUUAGUGCCUUCGGGAACUGUGAGACAGGUGCUGCAUGGCUGACGUCAGCUCGUGUUGUGAAAUGUUGGGUUAAGUCCCGCAACAAGCGCAACCCUUAUCCUUUGUUGCCAGCACGUAAUGGUGGGAACUCAAAGGAGACUGCCGGUGAUAAACCGGAGGAAGGUGGGGAUGACGUCAAGUCAUCAUGGCCCUUACGAGUAGGGCUACACACGUGCUACAAUGGCGUAUACAAAGAGAAGCGAACUCGCGAGAGCCAGCGGACCUCAUAAAGUACGUCGUAGUCCGGAUCGGAGUCUGCAACUCGACUCCGUGAAGUCGGAAUCGCUAGUAAUCGUAGAUCAGAAUGCUACGGUGAAUACGUUCCCGGGUCUUGCACACACCGCCCG
rnacentral:rRNA from 1 species